rnacentral:rRNA from 1 species
GCUCAACCGGGGAGGGUCAUUGGAAACUGGGGAACUUGAGUGCAGAAGAGGAGAGUGGAAUUCCACGUGUAGCGGUGAAAUGCGUAGAGAUGUGGAGGAACACCAGUGGCGAAGGCGACUCUCUGGUCUGUAACUGACGCUGAGGCGCGAAAGCGUGGGGAGCGAACAGGAUUAGAUACCCUGGUAGUCCACGCCGUAAACGAUGAGUGCUAAGUGUUAGAGGGUUUCCGCCCUUUAGUGCUGCAGCAAACGCAUUAAGCACUCCGCCUGGGGAGUACGGUCGCAAGACUGAAACUCAAAGGAAUUGACGAGGGCCCGCACAAGCGGUGGAGCAUGUGGUUUAAUUCGAAGCAACGCGAAGAACCUUACCAGGUCUUGACAUCCUCUGACAACCCUAGAGAUAGGGCUUCCCCUUCGGGGGCAGAGUGACAGGUGGUGCAUGGUUGUCGUCAGCUCGUGUCGUGAGAUGUUGGGUUAAGUCCCGCAACGAGCGCAACCCUUGAUCAGUUGCCAGCAUUCAGUUGGGCACUCUGGUGAGACUGCCGGUGACAAACCGGAGGAAGGUGGGGGACGACGUCAAAUCAUCAUGCCCCUUAUGACCUGGGCUACACACGUGCUACAAUGGUCGGUACAACG